rnacentral:rRNA from 1 species
CAGCGUUUGACAUGGGUACUAUGGUUAGCAGAGAUGCUUUCCUUCACUUCGGGUGGGUACCACACAGGUGCUGCAUGGCUGUCGUCAGCUCGUGUCGUGAGAUGUUGGGUUAAGUCCCGCAACGAGCGCAACCCUCACCUUCAGUUGCCAUCAUUUAGUUGGGCACUCUGAAGGAACUGCCGGUGACAAGCCGGAGGAAGGUGGGGAUGACGUCAAGUCCUCAUGGCCCUUACGCGCUGGGCUACACACGUGCUACAAUGGUGGUGACAAUGGGUCGCAAGUACGCGAGUACAAGCUAAUCUCCAAAAGCCAUCUCAGUUCGGAUUGCACUCUGCAACUCGAGUGCAUGAAGUCGGAAUCGCUAGUAAUCGUGGAUCAGCAUGCCACGGUGAAUA